AGUAAUUAAAAUUCACCUGCAGACGAUAAGAUCAUCAAUCUAAGUCAUCACUAUUCAAAUGUUUCUUUUUGUUUGUCAGACACAUCUAGAAACAUCAAAUACUCGGCACAAGGCUCAUAUAAAGAAAUGCGAAUUUAUCUUGAGGCUACUCGAUAAUGAUGAAUUAAGUCCAGACUCCAGAGCAGGUUAGUGAUAUCAAAGAUUUCCUGGAUGACUAUGUAGAGCGCAAUCAGGUGGCACCUGUGCUUAGCUUGAAGCUUUCUUUGGCAGCAUCAGCUUCAGCAUCACAAACACUUCAGUACAUCCAUUUAUUGUUGAUUGGUCCCUCUGCAACUCCGAUUUCUAACGAUCGAACUGCUGGAAAGUUAAACUGACUUUUAGGAAUAUACUAUAUUGCUAGUUGGAGUCAAUGAUUCUUACUCUAACUAGUUCUCAAAACUGAAAUUCAGAAUAACCAAUUAUUUGAGAACUGAGAAUGAAAAUGACAGGGAUCAAGUACUUUCAUCUUUUCAUGUUAACAUUUCCCUUAUGAGAGUAGCAGUGUACAACUAUUUUGUGCAAUGCACUAAUGCCUAAGGCUCUCCAGUGGAAGAAACUCUGAUAAAUGUAGCAUUGUCUAAGGAAUUUGUAUUUUCAGUUUUUUUUCUUUGCUUUUUUGGUUUGAAGAAUUGUAGCAUAAUCAAUGAGACAGAAGAACAACGCAUUUGUAAAAGAAAAUUAUGAUACCUCUAUA